AAGCAGUUCAGGUAAUGCCUUUCCGAGACAUUCUAUUCAAUUUCAUUGUUGCAUCCCUAAUAUCUCCAUUUGUACACAUAUACUUUACAGCAUUGCCAUUUUGCCUAAUAUGGUAUAUUGGUACUCUUUUGUUUUUCAAGACUUUGGCAUUUUUUAGGCUAGUAUAUGUAGGGACUUGGCAUAUUUAACUUCUCUGUACCAUAGAUGGUUAAUGAAUACCAUAAAGGCUUAUUACAUAAUGGUUGAGUAUCGUAAGAAUUUAAAUGAUAACUGAUUCCACAGAAAAUAGCCGUCUGGCUACAAAUAUAUUCUUCUCUUAACCGGAGAAGUCCAUUCAUACCAGCAUUGCAAGGGUUAAACUAUUGAAUUUUACGUCAUCAUGUAAGCAGUUCAGGCAAUGCCUUUCCGAGACAUACUAUUUAAUUUCAUUGUUGCAUCCCUAAUAUCUCC